rnacentral:rRNA from 1 species
GACGUAGGGCGCGAGCGUUGUCCGGAAUUAUUGGGCGUAAAGAGCGUGUAGGCGGCCAGGUAGGUCCGUUGUGAAAACUGGAGGCUUAACCUCCAGCUGUCGAUGGAAACCAUCUGGCUAGAGUCCGGAAGAGGAGAGUGGAAUCCCUGGUGUAGCGGUGAAAUGCGCAGAUAUCAGGAAGAACACCCGUGGCGAAGGCGGCUCUCUGGGACGGUACUGACGCUGAGACGCGAAAGCGUGGGGAGCGAACAGG